rnacentral:rRNA from 1 species
AUGACGAGGGGUGCAAUGGUUGCCGCCGUCGCCUUGGUCGCCCUCCUCCUCUUCCCCGCCACCUUCGCAUUUCCUCGGGCUGGCCAGCAGCAGCUGGAGCCCCACUUCUACGACCACUCGUGCCCUCAGGCGCAGCAGAUCGUGGCGUCCAUCGUCGGCAAGGCGCACGCCCAGGACCCCCGCAUGGCGGCCUCCCUCCUCCGCCUCCAUUUCCACGACUGCUUCGUCAAGGGAUGCGACGCGUCGAUCCUGCUGGACAGCAGCGCGUCGGUGGUGAGCGAGAAGCGGUCCAACACGAACAAGGACUCGGCGAGAGGGUUUGAGGUGGUGGACGAGAUCAAGGCCGCGCUGGAGGCCGCCUGCCCUCGCACCGUCUCCUGCGCCGACGUGCUCGCCCUCGCGGCGCGCGACUCCACCGUCAUGACCGGCGGCCCAGGCUGGAUCGUGCCUCUUGGUAGGAGAGACUCUUUGGGAGCCAGCAUCCAGGGCUCCAACAAUGACAUCCCUGCUCCCAACAAUACCCUCCCCACCAUCAUCACCAAGUUCAAGCUCCAGGGCCUUGACAUCGUCGACCUUGUCGCUCUCCUCGGUAGCCACACCAUUGGCAACUCGCGGUGCACGAGCUUCCGUCAGCGGCUGUACAACCAGACGGGCAACGGCCUCCCAGACUUCACGCUGGACCCGGCGACGGCGGCGGUGCUGCGCCCGCGGUGCCCGCGCUCCGGCGGCGACCAGAACCUCUUCUUCCUGGACCACGUGACGCCAUUCAAGUUCGACAACCAGUACUACAAAAACCUGCUGGUGAAACAAGGCCUGCUCAGCUCCGACGAGGUACUCUUCACCGGCAGCCCAGCCACCGCGGAACUCGUCAAGCUCUACGCCGCCAACCAGGACAUCUUCUUCCAGCACUUCGCGCAGUCCAUGGUGAAGAUGGGCAACAUCUCGCCAAUCACUGGCCGCAACGGCGAGAUCAGGAGCAACUGCAGGAGGGUUAACCACAACUGA